CCUACGGGUGGCUGCAGUGGGGAAUAUUGGGCAAUGGGCGCAAGCCUGACCCAGCAAUGCCGCGUGAAGGAAGAAGGCUUUCGGGUUGUAAACUUCUUUGACAGGGGAAGAGCAGAAGACGGUCACCUGAAAACAAGCCACGGCUAACUACGUGACAGCCGCCGCGGUAAUAAGUAGGUGGCAAGCGUUGUCCGGAUUUACGGGGUGUAAAGGGCGUGUAGCCGGGAAAGCAAUUCAGAUGUGAAAUCUGGAGGCUCAACCUCCAGAUUGCAUUUGAAACUGUUUGUCUUGAGUACUGGAGAGGCAGACGGAAUUCCGUGUGUAGCGGUGAAAUGCGUAGAUAUAAGGAGGAACACCAGUGGCGAAGGCGGUCGGCUGGACAGCAACUGACGGUGAGGCGCGAAAGCGUGGGGAGCAAACAGGAUUAGAUACCCCUGUAGUC
rnacentral:rRNA from 1 species